rnacentral:misc_RNA from 1 species
AAAAGCUUCAAGAAUUCCAUGUUCUUAAACACCGUCAGUGUACUUGUAACUGUUGCUUCCGUGGGCAGCGGGCUGCUUGCUUGCGUUCGCCUUGUGUGGUGAACCCACGGGAGAUGUCCGUAAACUCUGCUUUCAGGUGAUGUCAGUCUGAAUGUGUUAAUUUGAAAACAUGA